rnacentral:rRNA from 1 species
UAGCUUGAUCCUGGCUCAGGACGAACGCUGGCGGCGUGCUUAACACAUGCAAGUGGAGCGACGAACCAGGGGCUUGCCCCUGGGGCAGAGCCGCGAACGGGUGAGUAACACGUGGGCAACCUGCCCCGAUGACCGGGACAACCCGAGGAAACUCGGGCUAAUACCGGAUGUGCUCACGCCACACCAGUGGCGUGAGGAAAGGAAGCUUCGGCCUCCGCAUCGGGAUGGGCCCGCGGCCCAUUAGCUUGUUGGUGGGGUAAUGGCCUACCAAGGCGACUAUGGGUAGCUGGUCUGAGAGGACGAUCAGCCACACUGGGACUGAGACACGGCCCAGACUCCUACGGGAGGCAGCAGUGGGGAAUCUUGCGCAAUGCGCGAAAGCGUGACGCACCAACGCCGCGUGGGGGAAGACGGCCUUCGGGUUGUAAACCCCUUUCAGUUGGGACGAAGUCCGGUCGGUGAACAGCCGCGCCGGAUGACGGUACCUUCAGAAGAAGCCCCGGCCAACUACGUGCCAGCAGCCGCGGUAAUACGUAGGGGGCAAGCGUUGUCCGGAAUCAUUGGGCGUAAAGCGCGUGUAGGCGGCUCGGUAAGUCCGCUCUGAAAGCCCGGGGCUCAACCCCGGGAGGCGGGCGGAUACUGCCGAGCUCGAGUCCGGAAGAGGCGAGUGGAAUUCCUGGUGUAGCGGUGAAAUGCGCAGAUAUCAGGAGGCACACCAAUGGCGAAGGCAGCUCGCUGGGACGGUACUGACGCUGAGACGCGAAAGCGUGGGGAGCGAACAGGA